rnacentral:rRNA from 1 species
GACCGUGCAAAGGUAGCGCAAUCACUUGUCUUUUAAAUGAAGACCCGUAUGAAUGGCCUGACGAGGGCUUAGCUGUCUCUUUUCUCUAGUCAAUGAAAUUGAUCUUCCCGUGCAGAAGCGGGAAUAAUUCCAUAAGACGAGAAGACCCUAUGGAGCUUUAGACACAAGGCAACCCAAACAAAAUACCCGUAAACUAAACAUCUGGGUAAUAUAAUGGUCCCCGCUUAACUGUCUUUGGUUGGGGCGACCCUGGGG